CCUUUAAGUCCCUGUGUAUAUAAGACUCGACCGAAGAGGUCAUUUAUUGUAUCAAACGGUAUGUAUGGAUGUAAGACUCUAUUAUUCAGUAUCUGUGUUCAGUGAGCAUUGAUCCUUGGGAUCACUGGGCACGGUGAUCUCGACUUACCAGUCGGGGUCCCCACAGAACUGGUAUCAGAGCCAUCCUCACUAUAGGAAGCCCUUAGUUAGCAUGGACGUUAGUUAGGGUAAAACUGCUUUCCAGAUCCUUCAAAAUACUUACAAAACUUACAUAUUUCCUCAACUCUCCUAAAACUUCAAAGAAAUUGAAGGUUAUGCUCUAGCCUUCCACUCUUAUUUUCUUGGC
rnacentral:lncRNA from 1 species